CAUCAUGGUUUUACAUUGUUUAUGUCAAAUAUUUAAUCGUUCGUCUUAUUUAAAAAAGUUCUAUGAUUACUAUUUUUUUUAUUAUUAGAUGAUAAAAACAUGAAUACUAUUUUAUGUGUGAUUAUUAUUUUAAAAAAAUUAUUAAUUUUUAAAUAAGAUAAAUGGUUAAAUAUUGAACACAGAAAUCAACAGUUACACAAAAA
rnacentral:pre_miRNA from 1 species